rnacentral:rRNA from 1 species
AACGAACGCUGGCGGCAGGCUUAACACAUGCAAGUCGAACGCCCCGCAAGGGGAGUGGCAGACGGGUGAGUAACGCGUGGGAAUCUACCUAGUUCUACGGAACAACUGAGGGAAACUUCAGCUAAUACCGUAUACGCCCUACGGGGGAAAGAUUUAUCGGAAUUAGAUGAGCCCGCGUAAGAUUAGCUAGUUGGUGGGGUAAUGGCCUACCAAGGCGACGAUCUUUAGCUGGUCUGAGAGGAUGAUCAGCCACACUGGGACUGAGACACGGCCCAGACUCCUACGGGAGGCAGCAGUGGGGAAUAUUAGACAAUGGGCGCAAGCCUGAUCCAGCCAUGCCGCGUGAGUGAUGAAGGCCUUAGGGUUGUAAAGCUCUUUCAGUGGGGAAGAUAAUGACGGUACCCACAGAAGAAGCCCCGGCUAACUUCGUGCCAGCCGCCGCGGUAACAC